GAAUAUUGGACAAUGGGCGAAAGCCUGAUCCAGCCAUGCCGCGUGUGUGAAGAAGGCCUUUUGGUUGUAAAGCACUUUAAGCGAGGAGGAGGCUACUUAGAUUAAUGCUCUAGGAUAGUGGACGUUACUCGCAGAACAAGCACCGGCUAACCCUGUGCCAGCAGCCGCGGUAAUACAGAGGGUGCGAGCGUUAAUCGGAUUUACUGGGCGUAAAGCGUGCGUAGGCGGCUUCUUAAGUCGGAUGUGAAAUCCCUGAGCUUAACUUAGGAGUUGCAUUCGAUACUGGGAAGCUAGAGUAUGGGAGAGGAUGGUAGAAUUCCAGGUGUAGCGGUGAAAUGCGUAGAUAUGCGGAGGAACACCGAUGGCGAAGGCAACCCCCUGCGCCUGUACUGACGCUCAUGCACGAAAGCAUGGGGAGCAAAC
rnacentral:rRNA from 1 species